UACGUAGGGUGCAAGCGUUGUCCGGAAUUAUUGGGCGUAAAGAGCUCGUAGGCGGUCUGUUGCGUCGCUGUGAAAACCCGGGGCUCAACCCCGGGCCUGCAGCCGAUACGGGCAGACUAGAGUUCGGUAGGGGAGUGGGAAUUCCUGGUGUAGCGGUGAAAUGCGCAGAUAUCAGGAGGAACACCGGUGGCGAAGGCGCCACUCUGGGCCGAAACUGACGCUGAGGAGCGAAAGCGUGGGUAGCAAACAGG
rnacentral:rRNA from 1 species